UCUUUAGUGUGUGGAAGCUUCUAAAUUUAGGUCCGUCCAAAAGUAAAUGGGCUGUAAAAUGGGUAUUUUUGGUUGGAUCAUGGCCGGAAUUUCUUUUAUUUUAUUUUAUUUUGUUUUUUAACCCAAAACCUAACAGUCAAAACCCAAAUCCAACCCUAAAAACCCUAGAUUCAGGAAAUCAAUAUAUUUGUUAGAUCGUGAUAAUUGCAUAAACCCUAAAUUGUUCUUGACGUGCCGCAACCCUUUCACAGGACAGAGGUAAGCUUCCGCUGCCCUUUCUGGCAAACCCAAUCCCUUUUAAUUUCUUUGCUGAAAAAUUGUGAGAGUGGAACAUCAAUUAUUUGCAAAAAUUUGUAUGUUUGUUCAUUGGUUAUUUUUCUGUUUUUCUUAAAUUUUAUCAACAAUUUAUUGUUUUAUGCAUUGAUUUCGUUUUAUCAGUCCUUGAAAUGACAUGGUACUUGCUCAAUUUUUUUUUUAAAUAAUUGCUUAUUAGAAAAAAAAUAUCUUUCUUCUUACUUUUUUUUAGGCUAGCCCAUUUCGUUGUCUAGUGUCUUGUGUCUAUGUUGUUUCUGCUUGGAAUGUUAUAUACGUAGAACUUGUUUCGUGAUUGGUUUUGACUUGAUAUAAUUUUGACUAGAGAUAGGUGUGGAAGGCUAUGAUUCCUGAGUCACUUUUGAAAAAUAAUAAGAGGAAUCAGCUUUUACCAUAGUUAUAUAUGGACAAUGAGGGACAAGCAACCCCUUUUUUUUAAUUUCUUUCCUUUUGUUACUGUUCAAAGAGAAAAAAAAGUAGAUAUUUUAUUUAAUAAGAUUUUGCUUUAGUGUAGUCACAUAUUGUACACUUAUCCUUUAUUUUAUUUAUUAUUUUAAGAAUUUCAUUUAUAUCAUGCUUUAUUGACUCAUUUCAUAUCAUGGAUAAAAAAAAAUAAGUUAAAUUCAAAAUCGAUUCCAUGAAAUAAAAGAAUUAAAAAAUCAUAAGACUUGCCUUUCAAUUAUUUUAGAUUGAUUGAAAUCAACACAAAUAAAAUAGAUCAAGCGAAAAAAUAAAAUUGAGAUACUAUGUACAUUACAUAUAUUUCAUGACAUAUAUUUAAUUGAUAUUGACAUGUACGAAGAUACAUAUUGUAGAUUCAUCUAUAUUAAGCUUGUAUCUUUAUAUAUUACAAUAAUAGAUAUAGAUAGUAUGGUAGUAAGAUUCAUAUUUUUUUCUACCAUACUAUCGAGUUUGAUAAGAUACAGUUGAUUCUAGUCCAUUCAUUUUAUUUAAUUUAUUUAAUACGUGAAAUUGGAAUCCUUUUUUUCUUAAAUCCUUGAUAAAAAUGAAGAAUGGGAACUUGCCAAAAAGCAAGAGCUUGAAGCUGCAAAAAGAAGAGAGUUAAGAAUCGCAAGUUGAUUUACAUUAGGGCUAAGCAAUAUGCAAAGGAGUACGAGACUCAGGAAAAAGAGUUGAUUCGAUUGAAGCGAGAGGGGAGGUGAAGUUGAAGGGAGGAUUCUAUGUCGAUCCAGAAGCUAAGUUUUUGUUUAUUAUUCGAAUCCGUGGGAAGUAUUGGUAUCAGGAUGUUAAGAUGUAGAGAAGAUAUUGGAUGGGAGAAACUAAUGCCAUUGUUGAAUCAAUCCAUUGUUGCUUGGAUCCAUGCACCAAUAGAGACGGAAAAGGUAGGAGAAGCUUUACUGUAAGGGCCACAUGAGAGAGAGAGACGGGUGGGGCAUGUGACCUGUCAACUAUUAUUGUAACAUUUAGUCACACAUCACUUUCAUUAGUCAGUACCUAAUGCUUGGCUAAGACUCCUCUAGUCAAUUCGUUCACUGACUCUAACUCAAUUUUGCUUGGGUUUUAGGGCAAGAAUAGGACAUUUCCAACUUACAUGUAUUUAUUUAUUGCUUCUAAAUUUAGGAUUGUUGUCGUCUAGAAAUCUUACCAAAAAUUAAUGAAAAUAAUGAAGUUUAUACUUCAAAACAAUGUAUCGGUCCACAUUUAAUGUUUUAUGUUUGACUUUUUCA